GUUUUGAAGACUUUGUGGAGAACGGUUGGGCGUCGGAAAAACACAAGUGACAACAUCAUGACAUCCUAGUUAAUUAAAAUUCUAGUAAGAAUUUUACACAAAGUGCAUAGGAAAUUAUAUUUUAUACAAAAUACUUUUGCAAUUAACUGUUUAAAAAAUCAAUUAAUCAAAACAUUGCAUGGAAAGCAGUGAAGUGUAUAAAUUACGAGAAUUUUGUUUUGAUGCAGUAUUCGCAUUUCGUCACAACAAGAACAGUUGCAUUUUCGAAAAUUGUUUGUUUGAAUCUGCAAUUGCAAGAAUAAAGUGAAAGUGCAUCUUUGUGAAAGGUAUUUGUGUGCAUUUAAUCGUUCAAGUGGAUUUGCAGUCAACCGAAAAUCUUAGCGUAGUUUUUCUGUUAAGUGUGUUUCGCCUACCCUGGGUGGGAAGAUCAAACGGCAGAAACACAUCAGCCGAGCUGCCGGUAUGCGACGUUUCCACGUCCUUGGCUGGCGAAAACAAUGCGCAUUUAUGGCACAUGAGCGGCAAUGCGCUAAUUUCUUCUGAAUUAUCGAAAAUUCGAAAAAAAUCAUAAGCUCCGUUGCCGUUAAAUCAAGAAAACACUCGCUUUGAAAAUAUUAAACAAUUAAACAAUAAAAUUGUGAAAUAAAAUACCUGUUGUUGGUUUGUGCGACGGCGGGUACAAAAGAAUGUUUUCGCACUUCGCGCAAUGAAAAUGUGAAAAAGAAACAAAGCGAAAAAUCGAUUGCUCCCAUUUUAAUUUCAUGUGCUUUUGUUGUUUUUGUUGAAUUUGUUGACACAUUUUAACACUCGGCCGCACUGCCCUCGCAGCGACUGUAAUCAACAGUGCAGCUUGCAUUGCUGAACAUUAAUUGAAAGCCCUGCACGGCCGAAAGCAAAGAACUCAAAUUAAUAGUGCCAAUCCGACUGGACACAGUGCCAUUUGAUAUGUCUCACGUAUGAGUCAUCGCGUAGACAAAACGAACCCUAACCACCUUAGAAAAAUUCAGUGCGGAAUUAUUAAAUUUUGAUGAGAAAGAAAAUGAAAAAUCACAAAAAGUAUGCAAAAUUGCCCCAAGAUUUGGAUUUGAGUUUUCAAGAGAAUUUGGACAUUGACAGUGCUGCGGAUGAGUUAAAUUUAGGUUCCGGUUCAGGUUUGGAUGAAGACGAUAUAAUUGAGGACGACGAGGAGGACGAGAUUGUCAUAGCAACAGCUCAGCGUUCUGUUGGUGGCGGCUGUGGAAAGGGUGUACGUAUGACCACGUCAGCUAACAUUUCCGAUCAGCAGAAACAAUUUAAGGGGAAGAAUUCAACGUCUGGUAUUAGUACUUCUGGUUUGGGAAACGAUACUUUAAUUGAGACGGGUUCAACAUUAACGCCCGAGAUGUUGCUCACAACCUCUGAGUCAUCUACCUACAGUGCCUCUGAGGUGGCGGGCCGCUUGCAGGUUGAUGUGCGAACUGGCUUAAAAUGGACGGAAUCAAAAUAUCGCGCCAAAAUAAUUGGUCACAAUGAAUUGAAUGUUAUUGAGGAAGAGCCAACAUGGAAAAAAUAUAUCGAACAGUUUAGAAAUCCUCUAAUUUUGUUACUAUUGGGUUCAGCCUUAGUUUCGGUAGUAAUGAAACAGUUUGAUGAUGCAGUGAGCAUAACGAUAGCCAUAAUAAUUGUGGUAACUGUAGCUUUCAUACAGGAAUAUCGGUCAGAGAAAAGUCUAGAGGAGUUAAAAAAAUUAGUGCCACCCGAAUGUCACUGCUUGAGAGAAGGUGUUUUAGAGACAUUCUUGGCACGAGAAUUAGUUCCAGGCGAUGUUGUGUAUUUAAAUGUUGGUGAUCGAGUGCCGGCCGAUGUGCGACUAUUUGAGGCCAUAGAUCUAUCAAUAGAUGAAUCAAGUUUUACCGGUGAAACAGAACCCGCCCGCAAGUGCGCUGAUAUGCUUUUAAACAACACCGGUAACAAAGAUCAUACCAAUAUGAAAAAUAUAGCUUUCAUGGGCACUUUGGUGCGGUGUGGAAAUGGUAAAGGUGUUGUGGUGAGCACAGGUGAACGUAGCGAAUUUGGUGAAGUGUUUAAAAUGAUGCAAGCUGAGGAAGCACCAAAAACACCUUUACAAAAAUCAAUGGACAUACUCGGCGCACAGUUGAGCUUCUACUCAUUCAUCAUCAUUGGUGUUAUCAUGCUGCUUGGUUGGUUACAAGGAAAACCUUUAACAGAAAUGUUUAAUAUAAGCGUUUCUCUAGCUGUGGCUGCCAUACCGGAAGGAUUGCCAAUUGUGGUUACAGUCACGCUGGCGCUGGGUGUGAUGCGUAUGGCUAAACGUAAUGCAAUUGUUAAAAAAUUACCAACUGUUGAAACGCUUGGAUGCGUUAAUGUUAUUUGCUCAGACAAAACAGGUACACUUACCAAGAACGAGAUGACGGCUACUGUCAUCAUCACUUCUGAUGGUUAUAUGGCAGACGUAACUGGUGCUGGGUAUAAUGAUCAAGGCGAAAUUCAUAUUAGAAACUGCAACAAUGUGGAAAUGGCAAAAAGUAACAUAACAAAUUUAUUGGAAAUAGGAGCAGUGUGCAACAAUGCAUACAUACAGAAUGGCACAUUACUUGGCCAGCCAACGGAAGGUGCACUCAUAGCUGUAGCCAUGAAGAAUGGCAUGUAUGCAACUGCUGAAAACUAUGUACGCAUACAGGAGUAUCCGUUUUCAUCCGAGCAAAAGAUGAUGGCUGUUAAAUGCAUACAUAAAUACAAUAAUAACAAGGAGGAAAUAUUUUUUGCUAAGGGUGCUUUGGAAAUGUUGUUGCCACAAUGCACAAAAUAUUUAUUUGGCACGCAAACUGUGCCUUUAACCAAGCAAAAUGAGGCUGAGUUCUUAUCUGAGGCUUACGAAAUAGGCCGUAAAGGUUUACGGGUUUUAGCACUUGCCAAAGGAAAAUCACUACAGGACUUAAUAUAUUGUGGCUUGGUUGGUAUAACUGAUCCACCAAGACCUUUGGUGCGAGAAUCUAUUGAAAUGUUGAUGCAGAGCGGAGUACGUGUCAAAAUGGUGACUGGUGAUGCUCAAGAAACCGCAAUGGCCAUUGCUAAUCUCAUUGGAAUCGAUACGAUUCACCAUCAGACACUCUCUGGACAGGAGAUGGAUCAAAUGAAUGAGCAUCAACUUGACAAAGUGGCCAACAAUGUCAGUGUUUUCUAUCGAGUUACGCCACGCCACAAACUUGACAUUGUAAAAUCCCUACAACGCACCGGAAAUAUUGUGGGCAUGACAGGUGAUGGCGUAAACGAUGGAGUAGCGUUAAAAAAAGCAGACAUAGGAAUAGCAAUGGGUAAAAAUGGUACUGACGUUUGCAAAGAAGCAGCAGAUAUGAUUUUGGUCAACGACGAUUUUCACACAAUCAUUGCGGCUAUAGAGGAGGGCAAGGCUAUAUUCUACAAUAUACGCAAUUUUGUGCGCUUUCAACUUAGUACUUCAAUUGCGGCACUCUCACUAAUUGCACUUGCCACACUUAUGGGCAUUGCAAAUCCUUUAAAUGCUAUGCAAAUUCUAUGGAUUAAUAUUAUAAUGGACGGACCGCCAGCACAGUCGCUUGGUGUUGAACCUGUGGAUCAUGAUGUAUUGAAACAAAAACCGCGCAACGUUAAACAGCCAAUGAUAACAAAAUCGGUUAUAGUUAAUGUUUUGCUCAGUGCUAGCAUUAUAAUACUUGGCACACUAUGGGUGUUCCAACGAGAAAUGGCUGAUGGCACACUUGGCAAAACCAAACGUGAUACUACCAUGACAUUCACCUGCUUCGUUUUCUUUGAUAUGUUUAAUGCUCUGUCAUGCCGUUCCCAGACAAAGAGCGUUUUUAAAAUUGGUCUCACCUCGAAUAAAAUGUUCCUCAUGGCGGUUGGGUUUUCAAUUAUUGGACAAAUGCUUGUGAUUUAUUUUCCACCUCUUCAAAUGGUAUUCCAGACGGAAGCACUCUCUGUAUACGAUAUACUCUUCUUGCUCUCGCUAACUUCCUCGGUACUCAUUGUUGCAGAAAUUAAGAAAUGGUUUGAACGCACCAUGGAGCGUAAAUUAUACAAAACAAGAUCUGAGUUGGAUUUCGUAUGACAAAUCGCAAGCGCUGGAAGAAAGUUGAAUAAAAAAUCCGAUUAAGCUUAUUAAAAUAGCAACUAUUAAGGAGCUGAAGCGAGAGCAGACAGUACAGAAAAAAGAGUGAGAAACGUAUUAUUGAGAGUUAUUUUUACUUUUUUUUAAAUACGCAUUAAAAUCGUUAAGUUAGCUAGAGAAAAUGAUAUUAUAUAAGUAACGAGCUGGGAAGGAACGAUUGUGAACGAGCAGGGGGAAAAUAAGAAUUAUAUUUUAUAUGUCUUCACCCUUUUUGAGAAUAAAUCUCACUUGAAAUUAACGUGACCUAAUUUAGUAAAUUAGUGGUUUAUGGCAAUAUUGGCAAGGAGUAGAAUGCAGUGUAAAAAAAGAAAAAUGCGAUAAAUAUAUAUAAAAACAAAUUAAUAACUAAAAAAGUAAGAAACAAAUAAAAAAGACGUUUUGUAAAACAGAAAUUAGAUGCAAUGCCGAAGCGAACAGUAUCCUGAAUAAUCAAAAUUUUUGGAAAAAUCAACAGAAAAUUCUUCUAGCGCAAAUUUGGACUUUGAUAUAUUUUGUAUUAUUUUGUCAGAAAUACCAAAAAUAAAGUGCAUG